ACCACCCUGGAGCCGAUCCCAUUGCCCCAGUCGAAGUAGAGGGGGAAACGGCGCAUGGACCGUACUCGAAGGAGAAGGAGAGGGAGAGGGAGGCGUGGCCCGCCUAGGCCGUAGCAGGCGGGGCGAAAGGUAAAAGGAAGGAGAAAACAAAACCCCCAUGAGGAAAAGGAAAAAAAGAUAUGGAAUUUUCUGUAAGAGCUGCGGA
rnacentral:lncRNA from 1 species